rnacentral:tRNA from 1 species
GUGCUGCUGCGCGACGUGGUCGACGCGUGCACCUACGCCGUGCAGGACUACGAGGAGAUGAGCAUCAAGGUCGAGGUCCCGCCCGACCUGCGCG